rnacentral:lncRNA from 1 species
AUGAAUUUCCUGAUGUUCAAGCUGGUUUUAAAAAAGGCAGAAGAACCAGAGAUGCCAACAUCUGCUGGAUCAUGGAAAAAAGCAAGAAAGUUCCAGAAAAACAUCUACUUCUGCUUUACUGACUAUGCCAAAGCCAUUGACUGUGUGGAUCACAAUAAACUGUGGAAAAUUCUAAAAGAGAUGGGAAUACCAGACCAUCUAACCUGCCUCUUGAGAAAUCUGUAUGGAGGUCAGGAAGCAACAGUUAGAACUGGACAUGGAACAACAGACUGGUUCCAAAUAGGAAAAGGAGUAUGUCAAGGCUGUAUAUUGUCACCCUGCUUAUUUAACUUCUAUGCAGAGUACAUCAUGAGAAAUGCUGGACUGGAAGAAACACAAGCUGGAAUCAAGAUUGCUGGGAGAAAUCUCAAUAACCUCAGAUAUGCAGAUGACACCACCCUUAUGGCAGAAAGUGAAGACGAACUAAAAAGCUUCUUGAUGAAAGUAAAAGAGGAGAGUGAAAAAGUUGGCUUAAAGCUCAACAUUCAGAAUAUGAAGAUCAUGGUAUCCGAUCCCAUCACUCCAUGGGAAAUAGAUGAAGAAACAGUGGAAACAGUGUCAGGCUUUAUUUUCUUGGGCUCCAAAAUCACUGCAGAUGGUGAUUGCGGCCAUGAAAUUAAAAGACGCUUACUCCUUGGAAGGAAAAUUAUGACCAACCUAGACAGCAUAUUGAAAAGCAGAGACAUUACUUUGCCGACUAAGGUCCGUCUAGUCAAGGCUAUGGUUUUUCCUGUGGUCAUGUAUGGAUGUGAGAGUUGGACUGUGAAGAAGGCUGAGCACCGAAGAAUUGAUGCUUUUGAACUGUGGUGUUGGAGAAGACUCUUGAGGGUCCCUUGGACUGCAAGGAGAUCCAACCAGUCCAUUCUGAAGGAGAUCAGCCCUGGGAUUUCUUUGGAAGGAAUGAUGCUAAAGCUGAAACUCCAGUACUUUGGCCAUCUGAUGCAAAGAGUUGACUCAUUGGAAAAGACUCUGAUGCUGGGAGGGAUUGGGGGCAGGAGGAGAAUGGGACGACUGAGGAUGAGAUGGCUGGAUGGCAUCACUGACUCGAUGGACGUGAGUCUGAGUGAACUCCGGAAUAUGGUGAUGGAGAGGGAUGCCUGGUGUGGUGCGAUUCAUGGGGUUGCAAAGAGUCAGAUACGACUGAGCAACUGA